rnacentral:rRNA from 1 species
UACGGGGGGGGCAAGCGUUGUUCGGAAUUACUGGGCGUAAAGGGCUUGUAGGUGGCCAACUAAGUCAGACGUGAAAUCCCUCGGCUUAACCGGGGAACUGCGUCUGAUACUGGAUGGCUUGAGUUCGGGAGAGGGAUGCGGAAUUCCAGGUGUAGCGGUGAAAUGCGUAGAUAUCUGGAGGAACACCGGUGGCGAAGGCGGCAUCCUGGACCGGCAUUGACACUGAGGCGCGAAAGCCAGGGGAGCAAACGGG